UACGUAGGGCGCAAGCGUUAUCCGGAAUUAUUGGGCGUAAAGAGCUCGUAGGCGGUUUGUCGCGUCUGCCGUGAAAGUCCGGGGCUCAACUCCGGAUCUGCGGUGGGUACGGGCAGACUAGAGUGAUGUAGGGGGAGACUGGAAUUCCUGGUGUAGCGGUGGAAUGCGCAGAUAUCAGGAGGAACACCGAUGGCGAAGGCAGAUCUCUGGGCCGUAACUGACGCUGAGGAGCGAAAGCGUGGGGAGCGAACAGG
rnacentral:rRNA from 1 species